GCAGGUGUGACACCAUUUAUGACCUCUGCUCAGUCUGGCGAUAUUUCCAAUGUGAAGUAUUUAUUUGAUCAUGGUGGUGAUCUAAUGAAGGCAGAUGCACAAGGACGUAAUGUUCUACGCUAUGCCGUGUGCACAGGAAGCUCUACAGUAACAGAGUUCCUGCUUUCAAAAGGAAUACCUGUUGACAUAGACUUUGGUGAUGGGACACCACUUUAUCAUGCUUCUAUCAAUGAGUAGGAUAAGACCGUGAAGAUUUUGUUGAACCAUCAUGCAAAUCCCAACACCAUCUUCUGUGGCGUUGGAACUCCCCUGAAUGGUGCUCUUAUUUACCGUUCAUUGAAGUGCAUGAAGCUACUCAUUAAGGCCAGUAUUUUUUUUACUCUCUCCGUUCAACUACCACUAUGCUAGCUACAAUUUUGCUUACUGAAACCAUCUGUGCCAUCCCCCCCCCCCCCCCCCCCUUUAAAUUCUACUGUACAAUCCUUUUGACAGGCUGGUGCUGAUGUUAAUGGCAAAUGUUCUGUUGUGUCUCCUCUAGUGUUUGCUACAGGGCACAGAGGAUAUACCAACUUCAUUCGCUUACUGUUAAAGGCUGGAGCUGACCCUAAUAUUCCAGAUGAUUUGGGUAAUUUGCCAAUUGAGACGUGAUUGCCGAGAAGAAGUUGAAAUGCUGUUUCCCUUGACCUCACCAAUUCCAAAUGUCAGAAACCGGAGUAUUGACGGAAUAAUCUCUCAUGCCAAAUUGGAAAAUGCAAAGCCAAUGGCGUUGAACAACACGGAGGACCUUGGAGAUUUGCUUAACUCUAGUGCAGACUCCAAAUCGGCUCGUGAAGGUGCAAGGCGCGCCAGUCAAUUUGACCUGAAAAUUGAUAAGAAAGAAGAACAUGUCAAAGUAAGAAAAGCUACAAUGAGGUCGCUGGCAGAUAAGGCAUUUAGGUAGAAAGAGUAUGCCAUGGCAUCAAAGAUUUAUACUGAGGUGAUAGAUUGUGAUGGACUAGACGCUACCCUAUAUUCCAACCGGAGCCUCUGUAAACUGAAACUGGGUGAUGGCAAAGGUGCCCUGUCAGAUGCUUACCGGUGCAGGACGCUGCGACCUGACUGGGCAAAGGCUUGCUAUCGUCAGGCUAAAGCUCACAUGCUACUCAAGGAGUACAAGCAAGCAUGUGACGCUCUCCUGGAUGCGCAAAAAUUGGAUCCCGGAAAUGAGGAGAUUGAGAGAGCGCUAAGUAAGGCAAUUGAAUUGAUGAAGAUCUCCCCUGAUGAAGAUGAGGAAUGAAGCACGGCCGUCUGAAAUGAGUAGCGACCAGCUGGGACAAACGUUGUUGCCUGGUUAUAAAAUACAAAGUAGCAUUUUGUCAUCUGGGCCAAACGUUGUUUCAUUUCGGAUUCGACUUCUUUUUCCCUUUUUGGUUUCCUAUUUUUGCUCGGAGCAUGGCCAGCUGACGUGGAAGUCUGGCAAGUUGAAGCGCGGGUUUCUUUCUUGAGCUAGUUAUUAGUCUAUGACCGAACAAAACAUGCGCUCGCUAAGACAUGCAAGUUUCUGUCAACUUAUCGCCAAGUCAUUGGAAUUUCCCGUGA